rnacentral:rRNA from 1 species
GAUGAACGCUGGCGGCGUGCUUAACACAUGCAAGUCGAACGAUGAAGCCCAGCUUGCUGGGUGGAUUAGUGGCGAACGGGUGAGUAACACGUGAGUAACCUGCCCUUAACUCUGGGAUAAGCCUGGGCAACUGGGUCUAAUACCGGAUAGGAGCGCCUACCGCCUGGUGGGUGCUGGAAAGCUUUAUCGGUUUUGGGUGGACUCGCGGCCUAUCAGCUUUUUGGUGAGGUAAUGGCUCACGAAGUCGACGACGGGUAGCCGGCAUGAGAGGGUGAACAGCGACCCUGGGACUGAGACACGGCGCAGUCUGCUACGGGAGGCAGCAGUGGCGAGUCUUGUCCAAUGGGUGCGCGCCUGAUGAGGCGGCGCUGCGUGAGGGAUGCCGGCCUUCGGGUUGUAAACCUCUUCCAGUAGGGAAGAAGCGGAAGUGACGGUACCUGCAGAAGAAGCACCGGCUAACUACGUG